GUCUACGGCCAUGCCACCCUGAACAAGCCUGAUGUCUGAUCUCGAAAGCUAAGCAGGGUUGGUCCUAGUUAGUACUUGGAUGGGAGACUGCCUAGAAAGACCAGAUGCUGUAGGGA
rnacentral:rRNA from 1 species